rnacentral:lncRNA from 1 species
GGGGGAUACGGGGAUGGCUUAGGGUUAGGGUUUCCCCCAAAUCCCCUUCGAUGGGAUGGGUGACGAAGAUGAGGACGAUGACGAUGACGACGAUGAUGAAGGCUCCCCCUCUCCCCGCAGGCCAUGGCGGCGCUGCCCCCCCCCAGCCUGGCCGAGCUGCUGGACGCGGCCAUCGGCACGCCCGAGGUGGGGGCCGUCAACUUCACAGCCCUGCACAGCCUGCUGCGAGCCCUGCUGCAGCACCUGGGGCUGCUGCACCUCCCCGUGCCCACCCCACAACCCACCCCACAACCCACCCCACAAGCCGCCCCCCCCGGCGGGCAGCCCCCCCAGCCCACCCCGGGACCCCCGGGGGGCUCCGCAGCCCCCGCCGUGGGGCCGGAGAGGAGCGAAGCGAGGGAUGGCGACGCCACCCAGGCCCCGUCUGUGCCCCGGGACCUCCUGGAGGCCCUCAGCGGGGUGAAGGCGGCGCAGUCCCGUAUGGCCAAGGACAUCUGUGGGAUCAAGGAGCUGCUGGGCCUGGUGGGCGAGCAGCAGCGGGGACCCCGCAGCGGGGCGAGCCCGGAGAGCGACGGGGAGGCUGCCGGGAGCCAGGCUGCAGCCUCCGAGUCCUCCGAGUCCCCCGAGACCCCCGAGUCGGGCGAGGAGGACACCGAGCACGGGGGGACCCCCAAAAGGACGCAGCCAGCGCCCGGCACCGGCAUGGGGACAGCGGGGACACGGCCCCGCAGCCUGGGGACACGGAGAGCAUCAGUGGCCCUCGGGAGGCGGGCAGCAGCUGCCCCCAAUCGCACGGGGACGGCUGGUGCCGGUGCCACCGCCCCGGGGACGCAGCCGGGGGGCCCUGGCACCCAGACCCCCACCCUGGGGGCAGAGCCUGGGUCCCCCGGCACCCAAACCUCUGCCCUGGGGGCACAGCCCGGGUCCCCCGGCACCCACGGCACCACCCCGGGGACACAGUGGGGGUCCCCUGGUGCCCACGGCACCACCCCAGAGAUGCAGCCAGGGUCCCCCAGCACCC